AAGACAUUCGGUGCUUUCCUUCUUGUGAGUCUCCUUGUCAUUUCAUUAGAGAUACCUCUUGCAUCUGGUACAAGAAUCCCUAGAGGGAAACCAGGACUCUGUCCAUUUGUUGCUGGAAGAUGCCGGAUGCUUAAUCCACCUGACAAAUGUCAUUCUGACUUUGAAUGCCCAAAUGAACUAAAAUGCUGUGAAGGGAUCUGUGGGAGAGACUGCGUCAAACCAAUAUUUGUAUAAUUUUUACUCCUCUGAUGGAAAUCCAGCACUGACAAGAAUGCCCUGCACCAGUACUUACCAUGGUAUCUGGUGUGUGCGACCAGUGAUUUUUCUUCUAAUUAGCCAGGGACAGGUAUUUAUGCCCUGGGCUACCAUUUUUCUUCCUUCCUGCAAACUUAUCACAGACCUGCAGCUGAUGGUUUUCAGACCAGCACUGGCUCAUGGAUCACCACUUUGAGCAGCACUGCUCUAUACUAUGUUGUUUCACUGGUGACAUUUAUGAGACUGUAUGUCAAAUGCUCAUCACGUUUCUUGGAAGAAAAUUAAUCCUGAAUCACUCAUUGGACUGCCUCUCCUGAAAUAAUAAAUUCAUCCUGAGAUCACCAUUCAUUGAUUAAUAUUAAUUAACAACAUGCUACAGUGUAGGGCCUCUUCUAUGCUAUUAUAUCUAUGAUCAUGCUUAUGACUGGGAGACCACAGCCCAUGUAUCUAAUGUGUAGGAGAAACUCUAGCAAGUGAAUGGGUGAUCUGAACCUGGGAACAACAUAUUCAAACCAAAACUUGUGGAAGAAUGAGUCACUAUUUGAAGGAAUGCCUUCUGAUUAUUUUGAAACCUUAGUCUUGGGGUGGGGGAGCAAAGAUGAAUUGUGCAUUCAAAUUGUGAGAUACCAAGUAAAUAGUCAUUAUCUUUCAUGUUUAUUCUUACGAUAACACUAUAAUGAUACACAUUGCAGAGGGUAUCAUGUAGCCCUUGACAUAUUGUUGAACUGCAAUUGCCAGGCUCACAGGCCUAGCCAGUUGAGCCUAUUGUGUGGAAUACUGGUAAUUGUAGUCCAACAAUAUCUGGGAGCCUGUGUGGUUCUCACUAUAAACAAUGAAAACAGCCUAAUAUUCAAAACAGAACUGAGCCCAAACAAAUAUUUUUAACAAAUCCUGUAAAUUUAUUUAAUAUUUCCUUUUUGAGGCCUAUUAUUGGGGUCAUUUUUGAAACAGCAUUGAUUUUCAUUUUCAUGUUUGGGUUUCUGCCGAAACAUAAAAAUAUCCCAUUCAUUAGGUGCACAUAUUAUGCCAUCUUCUACCUGUGUCUAAUGUGGUUUAAGUAGCAUAAGCUGAUGAUUUGACAUCAUGCAAUAUAAUUCUUUGUCUUAUAUAAUGUCACAUUAUAUGGCACUACUGGAUGUGGGAUCAUGUUCAAGAAAGUCAUUACAAAAAGUGAAGUCAGCAAUGGCAGCAGCAGGUUUUCUAAUGAUAGUGAGAAUGACUGUUCAAUGUCAGCUGCACAAAGGAAUAGACAUGGUAUAGAGGUGUGGUGGCUGUAUUGUUAUGUACAAGUCAGUUUUGACUGGUGGUGAUACUCUGAAUGAGACACUUCCAAGAAACCUUGUUACCAAACCUGUCCAGAUGUUGCAAACUCAGGGAGGACAUGAUUUCCUUGACUGAGGGAUGAAACACAUGGUCAAAAUGAAGAGGCUUCCAGCCACUUUAGAGGUGUUUAGAUGAUGCAUGCCUCCAAAGCAUCCAGAAGCUACGUUGCUUAAGACCUAAGUAAAAAGGAACCAGAAUAAUCCAGCUCCUGGUGGCUCAGGUUGGUCCCUGCAUGCACAUCCCUCUUUUUGAGUGGGCUGUGGUCAGCGGGUUUCAACCUGCUUCUGUUGGGAGUGGACUUGGGCUGCUCUUUCCUGCCCAUCUGUUCCAGCCCUGAGUCAAUCCAUGUUCCUCAUUUCCUAUUGCUCUCAACUUUACCAAGCAUUGCAAUCUUUUCCAUUGUUGAUGGUUACCUAGUGUAUGAUGGAAGAUGUGUAUUGAAUGUACUAAAAUGUGCUUUUUAAAAAAAGUUAACACAUACACCCAUCAUAAAUGUUUGGGCAAAAAUUCUACAACCAGAAUACUGAAUUUUCAGCCUGCAUUUCAGUGCAGUCUGAAUUAUUGGCCAUUGCCUCUCAAGACCAAACAAUAAUGUAUGUCAUAUCUAUCACCCUUGUGCCUCCUACUUCAAGGUGAAAUGCUCUUAGGGGAAGGAACUGAUACUUUUCAUGGGAA